AUCUGUUAUGGCACCAGUAGAUGUAGACCUGAACCUGGUUUCAAAUAUAUUGGAAUCCUAUAGCUCCCAAGCUGGACUGGCAGGACCUGCUUCCAAUCUUUUACAAAGCAUGGGAGUGCAGCUGCCUGACAACACCGAUCACAGACCAACAAACGGAGUCUCUCUCUGUUGCCCAGGCUGGAGUGCAGUGGCGCUAUCUUGGCUCAAUGCAAGCUCCACCUCCCAGGUUCACGCCAUUCUCCUGCCUCAGCCUCCUGAGUAGCUGGGACUACAGGCGCCCGCCACCAUGCCCGGCUAAUUUUUUGUAUUUUUUAGUAGAGACAGGGUUUCACCGUGUCAGCCAGGAUGGUCUCGAUCUCCUGAUCUUGUGAUCCACCCGCCUUGGCCCCCCAAAGUGCUGGGAUUACAGGUGUGAGCCACUGUGCCCGGCCGAGUUAAAUAUAUUUCUAACAUAGUA
rnacentral:lncRNA from 1 species